UGAGCGAGGACGGUGGCGAACAUCAGGCCACCGGAGUGCCCAGAUCUGGCAACAUCCUGGUCCGAGAGCAAGGAGAAAAUAGGGAGGAGGGGGGGUCUCGGAUCGGGUGAGCUAUCGGGGGCUUUUAUAGCCCUCUCCGGGGAAGAAAGAAAAUGGUUGUGGCUCGUUCACCUCCGUGAUGCUCGCGGUGGUCGGGCAGAAUCGGAGGCCAUUCAAGAGGCCACGACAUUUCCGCUCAAGCCUCGCCACCGUUACCCCGAGGAAGAAGACCAGAGGAUCGCGUCGCGAUCCCUUGUCUCGGUCUCUUCUUCAGCCAUGGGAUGAAACCGGUUGGGCCCG
rnacentral:lncRNA from 1 species